GGGGGGGGGGGUGAAAAUUCCCCAAAAAAAAUUCGUGCAAAGAAAAAUGCCUGGAAAAAAAUUCGUGCAGCCAUUACGUCAGAGAAAAAAAAAUUCGUGCAAGCAAACAGCAAAGUACAAGUAGUCUUGAAAAAAAAUUCGUGCAGAGGUUAAAUGCAUUAAAAAAAAUUCCUGCAGAGACAUGAGACUGAAAAAAAAAUUCGUGCCGCAAAAGUUUUAUACCCCCUCUCCC